GGUCACUGCCUUAGCUGUGGUGCUAAGGGGCGCAACUGCUGUGGUGUGCAGCAGACCUGGGGUGCCUAGGAGCAAAGUGCUGCCUCAGCUGUGGCACCAAGGGGAUGUGACUGCUCUGAUGUGAAGGAGGCUGGGUAGUCCUGGGGGUGGGAUGCUGCCUCAGCUGUGGCACCAGGGGUAUGACUGCUCUGGAAUUUCUAGGCUUCAAGUCACCAGAGGUGGGACAUCGCUUCUGCUCAGCCCUAAGGAGAGGGUAAACCAGCGACUAGGAUAGGGGACAAAGUCAUUCUGUGGUAGCUUGGCCCUAGUGGUCAGGUUAUAGCAUCAGCUUUGCCCCAUGAUGGCUCGCUACUGAGCGUGGUAUAGUGCUGGCUAAACCUCCAGGAUGGAGAGAUUCAGUGGCUACUCACUCCCAGAGCAGGCCACACCCUAGCAGUGGCUCAGAUUCUGAGAGGGCACAGAGUAGUAGCAGCACAGGCCACAGAGGGGUGGGGCACAGUGUCUGCUUUUUCUCUGGGCGUAGCCCAGGAUUUAGACUCCAGGGAGCUCCCUCAGUUGGGCUCAGAACCUGCGAGGAUGGCAGCGGUGUCCAGCAGUGAAGACUGAAGGUGUCCACAGCUGUGAUAGGGGCUUCUGGGUCCUCUUGCUUGCUUUUCUUCACAGGAAGAAGUCCCUCCUAGCUCCUAGGGGGUUUGAUUGUGAGCGGCAAGGGUGUGGCAGAGAUUAUGCUCCAAGACACUGAAUCUGAAAGGAUGCAUCCAGUCUUGCCAAGUGGUUUCACUACCAAGGCCAGUCUCCAUCUAUGAUAGACCCAAGGAAGAUCAUUUACAACUAGAAUCUAGUCAUUUAGGAGAUUGUGUGCUCCCUGGAUGGGCCAUCUGCACUGGUGUGAGGUUUAUCUCAUUGAAGGGAAAACCAAAGGAAUCUUCUUGAAUAUCAGCACCAGGAAGAGCAGUACAAACUGGAGAAGCUGGGGUCAUUGUUGAGAGACAAAAUGAGAUCAUGUCUGGGAAAAUACUUCUAAAUUAUCAACUCCCUUUCUAUGGAAGAGGAUGACCAAAGAAGGAUGCACUCCUUGUCUGGAAUUAUGCCAGAGGUCUUAAAAUGCUCAGAAAUGAAAUCAGCCUUCUUCCCUGUCCUAAGAGGCUCAGGUUUUCGGCAAGUAACUCAUAAAAUUAAUGCUCCACUGAAAAUAAAAUCUGAUUUGAGUAGUAUCAGCACUUAGAAGACCUUUGGAGGCCGGGGGUAUUUUCUCUUUUACAAUGCUGUGAACAACAUUCACUCCUGGAAAACACUCCAAUGUCUUACAUCUUGAGGCUGUGGGGAUUUUUUUUUCUUUUGGUUUAAAUGUUGCCUUUCCUAUCUUUCUGCAUAUCAAUUUUUCCCCUGCCCAAGUCACAGGCUUGGUAGUAACCAUCAUGUUUACUGCUGUUCCUUCACAUGUGGUUCUCUGAGGCUUCUGAGCACCAGAAUUUUAUUAAACAGAGCUACUCACACCAUAAAGAUGGAAUUCUGCCAGAUCUGAAUCAUAGAAUAACACCAGAAUUGACUUCAGAAAUCAUCUUCUCUAAAGAUUUGCAAGAUUUUUAAACAGCACAUGCCUUUGUAAAAUGAAAUCAUCAGUGGAACACCGUAUAUAAAAUAAAAUUAAUAAAAACUACUAUGGCUGGAGAGGUGAAACUCUAACAUAUUACACAGUCUCCUGGGUUUUUUUGCAGAUAUUAAGGAUCCACUGAACCAUUUGAAAACUACCCUAUAUACUCCCCCUUUCCAGUGCUUCAGUCCCUUCUAUAGUAAUCACCACUGGAUUGUUCAGUCUUUCAAUAUUUUCAGUGGUGCCUAUCCUCCCAAGAAAGGCCAUCUUAAUUUGGGACAGCUUUAACUGUCUAUUUGGAAAAUCAUUCUUAUAUUUUAAUGGUCUCCUUGUAACCUCUAUUUAUUGUUACUAGAACAGAACUAGACUGUGCUCUAUUCCAUCUAAGUAUUGGGGUCAAUGAUCAUAUUCCUCCACAAACUUAUAGUUUUUUUACAAACUAAAUAUCCCCUGAUUUUUUCAACUUUAUCACAGUGUGAGAAUAUGUGGGCCUAAUCUCUUUAUUCUAAUUUCUUUCCUUUGAACUUGCUUCACUUUGUCAAUGUCAGUUUUAAUUUGUGUGCCUAGAACUGUAAAAAGUAAUCCCUAUGUUGACUGUAAUCAUCAACUCUUUCACUUUGAACAUUCUACCCCUGUUAAUUUGGCCUAUAAUUGAAUUUGAUUUGGGGAAAACUUGUCGGAGCUUAGCCAACUAAAUCCCCAAUAUCAUCCUUGAAUAUGCUACUGCAGAACCAAAUCUCCCAUAUUACAAACUUUUAAAAUUGUUUUAAUGACUUCAUGUGGUCAUUUUCCUUUGCCAUGGCUUUUAAAGUCACAUGGUUCUAUUAGAAAGAUUUCUAGGUCUCUUGUCAUUUCUAGAAUCUGGUUUGUUGGAUUUGGCAAAUCAAUAUCUGUAUAUUUGUUCACUUUUUAUUCUGUCAAUCGCAAACAUGCCAUCUGCUUAAUAAUUUCCCACAGAUCUUUAUUGAUAUAUAUUUUGUUGGGAAAGAAUUUAUCAUUUUAGAUCCAGAAUAUGUAAUCAUAGCUGUCCAUUUAUAUCUGACCAUAAAGAACUUUCCUACUAUAGAAUUUUUGAGAUUUGGUGAGGGCUAACUAGAAGGCUGAAAGGAUAGGAAAGCUGCUGAGUUUAUUUGGUUACACACCAAUGGUCCUGUAAGUCUGUAAUUUCAAAAAUCUACCCGAAAACAAGGGAUUGUAUCCACUGUUAAAUGGAUGAAGUUUUAAGCAUCAGAAAAUCAGUCUGAAUUUUCAUUAUUCCCUAGAAAUUUUCUCAACUUUGUGAGUUUCAUCCAGGUACUUUGCCGUUCUUGAACAUAUUUUCAUGUGGUUUUAUAAUAUUUAUUCAACAUUAUUUUCCAUUAGUUCUCUAAUUUUAAUUGUUGGUAAGCAUUUCGAUGUGUAGCUAUUACAUGGUGCAGAACUGAUUUAUCCACGUUAAUGUCUGAGGAGACCAUGACCCAUUUUAUCUGCUGCGUGGUCAGCCCUGGUAUUCAUGGCAGGUUGUCUGAAUAUUUCUGAUGAAGUCUUUAAGUACAUGUAAUUCUGAAAACACAUUCCCAUUCAGUAAGACUUAUACAGGAUGGUAAGCCUAACAUGGCAAAAGGUUUCUAAAAAAUUCCAUAAACAUUAAGCAUAUUUAUGUCAUAGCAUUAAGUUUGGUCAAUUUGAAACUUACCGUAUUGUAGUAUAAGAGGCAUUUUGUUUGCUUGUGUUUACUUUCCCAG
rnacentral:lncRNA from 10 species